rnacentral:rasiRNA from 1 species
CUAUCCAAGACUGCUCAUUGAGGUA